rnacentral:sRNA from 1 species
UAUGGUUGGUGAAACGUGAAGAAAGGGGCAAGAACUGUGUACAAAGCGAGGCUACUCUUAACACACUUGCAGCUUAAUUAAAGACACUUUUUUUUUCAACUUUUCAUACUGGAUUAUUUCCAUGGUGGAUUGAAGUCGAAUCUAAACUGUUAUUGGAUUAUUUGGGAUUGUGCAGAAUAAAAUAGUAAAAAUCCAGUUUUAUAUUUAUAUUCAUAGAAACAAGAGUUUCAGGCCAUGCCUCAUAAUAAGCCAGCUAUUCCCCUUGGGGGUUUGAACCAGGCCAAGCUUGCCGAGGAGCAGCAUCAAGAGAUCAAGGCCUAUGAUAAGAACCGAGAUAUCCAAGUGGUCCUGGGUGUUACCAUAGCUAUAGUGUCAGCCUUGGCAGCCCUAGCAGGUAGUGCUACGUGUAGCCUAUAUAUUUUUACGUUCAUUGUUUUAAAAAGUAUGAAUAGCGGUAAAAAAAUAUUUCACGAGUCAACCAUUUGUAUUUUAUGCUUUAUUAACACUUUCACAGUGGAUUUACUAUUUCAAUUCAUAAAGUAUUUUUAUGUGCCUUUAUUAUUAUACAAGUCAUGCUUGUGCUAUUAAAUUACUCAGUAUUCUAGAUUGGAUAUGUUUAAUAUUCAAAUUCUAUUUAAAUGAUUCAAGACAUAUGCUAGAGCGUGUCACCAUAUGUAAAUCUGAAAAUGUGAAAAUAAAACGACCGCACUUUCUACAUUAAUCGGUAGUAGUAUAUACCACAAAAAAAAAAA